GACGAACGCUGGCGGCGUGCUUAACACAUGCAAGUCGAACGGAUUGCGCCUGCUUUUGUGGGUGUGGUUAGUGGCGAACGGGUGAGUAACACGUGAGUAACCUGCCCCCUUCUUUGGGAUAAGCUCCUGAAAGGGUGUCUAAUACUGAUUAUUCUGCUGGUCUCGCAUGGGGCUGGUUGGAAAGCUUUUGUGGUUGGGGAUGGGCUCGCGGCUUAUCAGCUUGUUGGUGGGGUAAUGGCUUACCAAGGCUUUGACGGGUAGCCGGCCUGAGAGGGUGGUCGGUCACAUUGGGACUGAGAUACGGCCCAG
rnacentral:rRNA from 1 species